rnacentral:rRNA from 1 species
CUACGGGUUGCUGCAGUGAGGAAUAUUGCACAAUGGGGGGAACCCUGAUGCAGCAACGCCGCGUGGAGGAUGACGCAUUUCGGUGUGUAAACUCCUUUUAUAUGUCAAGAAAAUGACGGUAGCAUAUGAAUAAGCACCGGCUAACUCCGUGCCAGCAGCCGCGGUAAUACGGAGGGUGCAAGCGUUACGCGGAAUCACUGGGCGUAAAGGACGCGUAGGCGGGUUGGAAAGUCAGGUGUGAAAUCCUACAGCUUAACGGUAGAACUGCACUUGAAACUUCUAAUCUAGAGUAUGGGAGGGGGAGAUGGAAUUAGUGGUGUAGGGGUAAAAUCCGUAGAUAUCACUAGGAAUACCUAAAGCGAAGGCGAUCUCCUGGAACAUUACUGACGCUAAGGCGUGAAAGCGUGGGGAGCAAACAGGAUUAGAUACCCUCGUAGUC